rfam:Mangrovimonas sp. DI 80 WGS_KM_S5._contig_2, whole genome shotgun sequence.
UAUAUUUGCCGCUUGAAAGAAACCCUUUCAUAGUACAUAAAAAUCAUUAAAACAAUAUUGGAAUG